CUACAGAGGGUGCGAGCGUUAAGCGGAAUUACUGGGCGUAAAGCGCGCGUAGGCGGCUUGGUCAGUCGGAUGUGAAAGCCCUGGGCUCAACCUGGGAAUUGCAUUCGAUACUGCCAAGCUAGAGUAUGGGGGAGGGAAGUGGAAUUUCCGGUGUAGCGGUGAAAUGCGUAGAUAUCGGAAAGAACUCCAGUGGCGAAGGCGACUUCCUGGCCCAAUACUGACGCUGAGGUGCGAAAGCGUGGGGAGCGAACAGGAUUAGAAACCCUAGUAGUCC
rnacentral:rRNA from 1 species